rnacentral:rRNA from 1 species
AGCCUGAUGCAGCCAUGCCGCGUGUAUGAAGAAGGCCUUCGGGUUGUAAAGUACUUUCAGCGGGGAGGAAGGGAGUAAAGUUAAUACCUUUGCUCAUUGACGUUACCCGCAGAAGAAGCACCGGCUAACUCCGUGCCAGCACCGCGGUAAUACA